rnacentral:snRNA from 14 species
AUACUUACCUUCACGGAGUCGCCCAAGAUCAAGAAGUUGGGGACUUGUUAGCACGUCCUGCAUUGCACAGCGUGGUGACGGGCUAGCAUGAAUUGCCUUCGGGUACUUCACUGUGGUAAUUUUUGCUUGCAUCCCUUGGGAAAU